rnacentral:tRNA from 1 species
GCAGGUAUCGUAUAAGGGCAUUACCUCAGCCUUCCAAGCUGAUGAUGCGAGUUCGAGUCUCGCUACCCGCUCCA